CCCUAGUCUCAGUUCGGAUUGGAGUCUGCAACCCGACUCCAUGAAGCUGGAUUCGCUAGUAAUCGCGCAUCAGCCACGGCGCGGUGAAUACGUUCCCGGGCCUUGUACACACCGCCCGUCAAGCCAUGGAAGCCGGGAGUGCCUGAAGUGCGUGACCGCAAGGAGCGUCCUAAGGCAAUACCGGUGACUGGGGCUAAGUCGUAACAAGGUAAC
rnacentral:rRNA from 1 species